rnacentral:tRNA from 1 species
UGGGUUGUGGCUCAGUGGUAGAGUGCUUGCCUAGCAUGCUGAAGCAUUGAGUUCGAUCCUCAGCACCACAU